UGGCCAGGGGAAUUCCUGGCAGAGUGAUUUUUAACCUUAAUGACUGAAUCACAUUGCCAGGGAUUUCCAAUGGCUG
rnacentral:pre_miRNA from 1 species